rnacentral:SRP_RNA from 12 species
CUCCAGCUGCCCUGGCGAAGGAGCGGGUGCCCAAAGUGAACCUGAAUCGGGGGGUUCCACUUGAGGACCGCCUCACAGAGCUACUGGAGGUGGUCACUCUCG